rnacentral:rRNA from 1 species
CAGUAGCCGCGGGAAAACGGAGGGGGCUAGCGUUGUUCGGAAUUACUGGGCGUAAAGCGCACGUAGGCGGCUUUGUAAGUUAGAGGUGAAAGCCCGGAGCUCAACUCCGGAAUUGCCUUUAAGUCUGCAGAGCUAGCAGGUGAGAGAGGUGAGUGGAAUUCCGAGUGUAGAGGUGAAAUUCGUAGAUAUUCGGAAGAACACCAGUGGCGAAGGCGGCUCACUGGCUCAUACUGGACGCUGAGGUGCGAAAGCGUGGGGAGCAAACAGGAUUAGAUACCCCUGUUCCCUGUCUCUUAUACAC